CAGAGUCGUAAAAAACUCCCAAACCCAUGUGAACUUACCAUUGUUGCCUCGGCGGACCUACCCUGUAGCCAGCUACCCUGUAGCGACCUACCCUGUAGCCCGCCGGUGGACCACUAAACUCUGUUAUUCUAUGGAUAUCUGAGCGUCUUAUUUAAUAAGUUA
rnacentral:misc_RNA from 1 species